rnacentral:rRNA from 1 species
UGAGGGGAUUAUUGCGCGAAUGGGGGAAACCCUGACGCAGCGACGCCGCGUGGGCGAUGAAGGCUUUUCGGGUCGUAAAGCCCUUUACCCACUGAGGAGAACGGACAGUAGGUGGGGAAUAAGUCUCGGCUAACUACGUGCCAGCAGCCGCGGUAAAACGUAGGAGGCGAGCGUUAUCCGGAGUUACUGGGCGUAAAGCGCGUGCAGGCGGUUCGGUAAGUGGCGGGUGAAAGCGCCUGGCUCAACCAGGUGAGUGCCGGUCAGACUGCUGGACUGGAAUGUCGGAGAGGGACGCGGAAUUCCGGGUGUAGCGGUGAAAUGUGGCAGAGAUCCGGAGGAACACCAGCGCCGAAAGGGGCGUCCUGGACGACGAAUUGACGCUGAGACGCGACAGCGUGGGGAGCGAACGGGAUUAGAUACCCGGGUAG